GCUGUUGCUGCUGCUGCAGCUGCUGCUGCUGCUGCUGCAGCAGGAGCAGCAGCAGCCGACGUAGAGAAGACGAGCUGCUGCUGCUGCUGUUGCGUCUCUGCUGCUACUCUAAUAGAUUAACAAU
rnacentral:snoRNA from 1 species